rnacentral:lncRNA from 1 species
GCAGCCAGCGGGGCCCGGGAGCCGCCGCCGUCUCGAUGGGAAAAGUAUUCGAGGCCCUGGAUGACUGGGUAAAGAUCCAUCAGAACCAUUGUGGUCGUCGUAAGUGACAUGUCCUCCAUUCCAGAAUGUGGAGAGUCCACUACCCUGUUUAAAACCAAGUCAAAGAACCAGUGACAUCACAGUAAGCCAGCAGUUGGUGAUUUCAUCUUUCUAGAGUAAAGCCAAGAAUUGAAUAAAGCCAUCAAGGGAGCUACCCUCUUACUCUAAAGAUGUUUCUCAUUACCUAACAACUUUGCAUAUGGACCUCCUUAAUCUUUUUAAAAGCAUCUUCAUCAAGGUGCUGAAGGAAUCUUCUAGAUCUUCUAGAGCGUGGGAAGGCUGAAUGGGCUCAACAUGAAGAGCCUGAAAGCGAAGUUCAGGAAGAGUGAC